GACAGAGGGUGCAAACGUUGUUCGGAAUUACUGGGCGUAAAGCGCGUGUAGGCGGCUAUGUAAGUCGGGCGUGAAAUCCCACGGCUCAACCGUGGAAGUGCACCCGAAACUGCGUAGCUAGAGUCCUGGAGAGGAAGGUGGAAUGCUUGGUGUAGAGGUGAAAUUCGUAGAUAUCAAGCGGAACACCGGUGGCGAAGGCG
rnacentral:rRNA from 1 species